ACGAGUUUUGCUGGACGGGUUUGG
rnacentral:siRNA from 1 species